rnacentral:rRNA from 1 species
AUGGAGUGUGCAGCGAAGGGGAUAGUGGAGGAUCCAUGCGCCAGCGGCGCCAACCGGCGGUGCGGCAGCUGCGGGGCCGUAGCCUACUGCUCGAAAGACCACCAGUUCAUACAUUGGAAAGUUCAUAAAGAAGAAUGUGCAAGGCUUGCAACACAAAUGAGUCGCAUUGAUAUGCUCAGCCAAUUUCCGUUCACAUUCUCCGUCGAACCUCAUGCUCUGAAUCAUACAAAACGAAGUAUGAGGUGCUUAUUUUUGGAGUCAAUGAAAGUUCACCUGAAAGGACUCUGGAAAUCAGGAUGCAUGUGUGGCCCAGAUAUUGCUUCUGUCAAGGACCUGAGCAUAACAACUGAAUGGAACAUGGAAAGCUCACUUUGCCCAUGUACAGAGCCUGAAAAUCCUGUGCCCGCACCCCUGGCAAGCUGGGAAGACUACUUUCAGUGGAGAUCCCUUCCUUUACAUUCACCUGUGGCAGUUUUACUUCACUGGCCACUUACUCUAUAUCAUUGCCUUCAACUAUCUCGCAUCCAAACCUCAAGAUAUGAUGGGCAUGACACUCUGCACAUUCACUAUUUAGGACCUGAGAAAGAGUUGCUUCAGCUUGCGGUGUUUGCAGAACUACGUGCACUAUUUCCAGGUGUCCACCUUCGCAUUGAACUUGUGGGGCCAGCAGUUCCAAGAUCCAGGGAUGGUGAAGUUGUAAAUAUUUCCAGCUAUCCAAAUUGUUCUGGUGAGAGCUGCCAUUGUAGAUCUUCUAUUGCCUCUGAGAACUUGAAUUGCAGUGAGGUGACACUGAAAAUAUGGAAAGGACUCUAUCAUGAGAGAUAUGGUGAUAUAGUAAAGGAUUCAAAUCCUCAUCUUAUACUUGCCCCAAAUGCGGGUGUAGCUGCUUAUCCUAGUUGGAUGCCAACUAUUGAAAUGAUUAGGGGAAUUGGAGUUCCUGCAAUCUUUACCGACUUUUGCGAAGAAGCUGCUCAUCUGGCCUCUUGCUGCAUAAGCUCCAUAACUGGCCAACCCCUGGGACUCCCUAUACAGGUAAAUCCUUUCAGGCAGCCGAUUGCAGAGAACAAUAGUGCGCUAUACAUACCAUGCUACUCGAAUGGUUUUGUUUUUGGAAUGUAA